rnacentral:tRNA from 1 species
CCAGAGGUGGCAGAGUGGCCAAAUGCACGGGUCUGUAAAACCCGCGGGGUUUCCCCUUCGAUGGUUCGAAUCCAUCCCUCUGGA